rnacentral:siRNA from 1 species
CGACAAGUUACUGUAGGAUAUGGU